rnacentral:lncRNA from 1 species
UUUGUUAUAAUAAUAAAUACUAUUUUCAUGAAAUGCUGUAAAAUUCAGAAUAGAUGAAGGAGGGAAUUAUUACUUGUGAAUAAUUACCAGUAUAUCUUCUUUAAACAAUGUUGUUUAAAAGGAGAUUGCUAUUUGUGGCCGUGGCUAAGGGAAGAAGGAAAACACAACAUUCUUGGUUAAUAGAAGGGUUGGACCUGUGACUUUGUUAUUCUGCACCACUUUCUAGGGAAUUUAUCAGAUUUUCCAUCCCUGGAGACCUUGAGAAUGGUGAAAAUGGUAGAAGCAGUCACAAAAUGAUUGUCUAUUGAAGUGGAGUUUGAUGUUACCAGCCAACAAUUACUACCAUAAUUUUAUAUUGGGUUGCUGUGAGUUUUUCGGGCUAUAUGGCCAUGUUCCAGUAGCAUUCUCUCCUGAUGUUGUGCCUGCAUCUGUUGCUGACAUCUUCAGAGGUUCUAUUGGCAGUGAAGCAAGUGGAGUGCAUAUAUAUCUUGUGUAAUGUCCAGGGUGGGAGAAGGAGGCCUUGUCUGUUUAAAGCAGUGGUUCCCAAGUUUGAAAUUAUGAAACUAUUUUUUGAACUCAGAAUAGAAAGGUAAUACAAAAAAAUGCACCUGUGGCCAUCACCGCCCCCCUGGAUCGCUACAGCGCCCACCAGGGGGCGGUAGAGCCCACUUUGGGAAUCACUAGUUUAAAGCAAGUCUGAAUGUUGCAAUUAGCAAGCUUGAAUAGUGUUGAGUAGCCAUGAAGCUGCAAAGUCAAUCAGUGAGAGUAUCUGCCUAGAGGUAGCCUGUCCUCUGCUGCUUGGAGGCAUCCUUUGUUUGAUUGGUGAUAACUGGUACCUGAUUGUUUGCUGUCUGGAGUUCUCCUGUUUCUCACUAGUGUUCCUUAUUUACUGUCUUGAUUCUGGUGUUUUUUAAUACUGGUAACCAGAUUUUGUUCAUUUUCCUAGUUUCGUCUUUUAUAUUGAAAUUGUUCACGUGCUUAUGGAUUUCUGGGGGUUCUUUGUGUAGUCUGACAUAAUAGUUGUCAGAGUAAUCUAGAAUUUCUGUGUUCUCAAAUAAUAUUCUGUGUCCAGGUUAGUUCACCAAGUGCUCUGCUAUGGCUGACUUCUCUGGUUGA